rnacentral:lncRNA from 13 species
CCUGGUGGGUUCAUGGAGCGUCUGUACGCUCUCCUGUACUCCUUCCUGCCCGCUGCUGCCAGCAUUGAGCCAAAGGCUGAGAGAUACCUGCUGCUGCUCAAUGAUUCUUGUGACACUUUGCCAACUAACAGGGAUCUAGACACUAAUGCACUACAUUACUUUGCACUGAAUUUUACAUUUUUAAAUAAAAUAACUGGUAGUUUAAAAGCAUUUGUCUCUGUCUUUUCAUUUACUUGAUCAUUUCAUCACAAUUUCCUCUUCCUGGAGUUAUGAGGCUAAUAUUACAUGAACAAUUAUGCUUUAUUCUUUAGAUAUGGAAAUUAACAACAAUCAAUUGUGCGAGAGGGGGAGAUGAGGUUACACGUCCUGUUAAAACUAACACAGCUCAAAAAGCAAACGGAAUCUGGGAAUAAUGUGUACAUCACUGGUUAGAGGACAAUGUGUAGUAGACAGCUAGCUAGGCCUACAUUUAGAAGUGUUGCAUUUUGAUUCAAGUGGGUCACCAACACGGUAAGUGUAAUGCAACUCUUUUUUUGUUCAUCACUUCCAUCAAUGUCACGCUGAAAUCAAUAGAAUGGGGGUUAAAUGGUGGUGUAGCACUGUUUGAAGUAACACUAUUCACACUUGGAAUAACCUAUACACGGUUGGUUAGAUGAACUUGUAGAGGAAUUCCAUUUUUAUCUUGGAAUGUCAGCUGUUGAUUUCGGUAGGAAACAGACCACUUUUUUGUUAGCUAUCUUUAACUUAUACGAAAACACGACGCGACAUAGGAUAUCAACAGUGACACUAUUUAAGUGACAGUUUGACUGUCAAAUCCAUGUAUUGGUGUGUGGCCAUAGACUUUUAUAGAGAGAGCGCGUUUCAUUUUCUUUGCCAUUUCAUUAAUUUAUGUGGCAUUUCUAAGUCCUGCAUAACCCAGUACGUGUGACAAAAUCAUUGGUACAAAACCACAGAUAUUGAUCUGUUUUAAGCAGUCAAUCAUAUGUCAUCUUGAAAACUAUACACUUUUAUACUAAUAUCACCAAUCUGAGGUAAAAUGGAUGUGUAAUUCCACAACAUUUCCUGGGGUGAAAAUGAAGGUUUGUGUAGGUUAUUAACACAAACUGUCCACAUUAGGGAAAUUCGCAGAAUAUACAAUUUACUAUGGCAAAAUAUUUAAACAUGUCUAUUUAAGAUGAUAGUAUACACUAUAUAUACAAAAGUAUGUGGACACCCGUCAAAUUAGUGGAUUUGGCUAUUUCAGCCACACCCGUUGCUGACAAGUGUAUAAAAUCGAGCACAGAGCCAUGUAAUCUCCAUAGACAGACAUUGGCCUUACUGAAGAGCUCAGUGAAUUUCAACAUGGCACCACCUUUUCAACAAGUCAGUUAGUCAAAUUUCUGUCCUGCUAUAGCUGCCCCGGUCAACUAUAAGUGCUGUUAUUGUGAAUUGGAAACGUCUAGGAGCAACAACGGCUCAGCCUUUAAGUGGUAGGCCACACAAGCUCACAGAACGGGAGUCCCCGCAGCAAGCCUUCCCAAAAGAGUGGAGGCUAUUAUAGCAGCAAAGGGGGAGCCAACGCCAUAUGCCCAUAAUUCUGGAAUGUGAUGGUCGACGAGCAGCUGUCCACAUACUUUUGGUAAUGUAGUUUGUUGCCCACUCGCAAACUAUUGCAACAAUGACAUCUCUUUCUCACUCAUUUAACCAUUUAGAGAGUAAAAUAAUGCUCUCAACCACAUUUUAACCAGGUGCUCUAGACUAGAGCCUCCAUCGUCUGUACAGNNNNNNNNNNCAAACGGAAUCUGGGAAUAAUGUGUACAUCACUGGUUAGAGGACAAUGUGUAGUAGACAGCUAGCUAGGCCUACAUUUAGAAGUGUUGCAUUUUGAUUCAAGUGGGUCACCAACACGGUAAGUGUAAUGCAACUCUUUUUUUGUUCAUCACUUCCAUCAAUGUCACGCUGAAAUCAAUAGAAUGGGGGUUAAAUGGUGGUGUAGCACUGUUUGAAGUAACACUAUUCACACUUGGAAUAACCUAUACACGGUUGGUUAGA